rnacentral:rRNA from 1 species
AUUGAACGCUGGCGGCAUGCCUUACACAUGCAAGUCGAACGGUAACAGGUCUUCGGAUGCUGACGAGUGGCGAACGGGUGAGUAAUACAUCGGAACGUGCCUAGUAGUGGGGGAUAACUACUCGAAAGAGUGGCUAAUACCGCAUGAGAUCUACGGAUGAAAGCAGGGGAUCGCAAGACCUUGUGCUACUAGAGCGGCCGAUGGCAGAUUAGGUAGUUGGUGGGAUAAAAGCUUACCAAGCCGACGAUCUGUAGCUGGUCUGAGAGGACGAUCAGCCAGACUGGGAAUGAGACACGGCCCAGACUCCUACGGGAGGCAGCAGUGGGGAAUUUUGGACAAUGGGCGCAAGCCUGAUCCAGCAAUGCCGCGUGCAGGAUGAAGGCCUUCGGGUUGUAGACUGCUUUUGUACGGAACGAAAAGCCCUGGGUUAAUACCCUGGGGUCAUGACGGUACCGUAAGAAUAAGCACCGGCUAACUACGUGCCAGCAGCCGCAGUAA